UCAAUGUGGAAUGCAGCGAUUGUACAUGAGUGCUGGGGCAUUGGUGCUUCUACCUUUGAUAUUAGCAAGAAAUUAUAGGUUUCUGAUGAGAAGUAAUUAGUUUUGUUUCGUAUGAUUUUAAAGGUUCUGGUUUAACUGUCGAGGAUAUCAAAAUUAACUUGGUGCUGACACCUUCAAAUUGGGCUCUUGGUGGAAGUAAUUGGUGCCAUAUGAGCUUGAGGUCUGAGGAGAAGUUGCUUCUGUGAAAACACAUCUUCUGGUGGUUGUUGGGCAGAUGCUUUGAAUUUUGCUGGCCAAUUUUCUCAUGCCUUUUUCAGCGUGUACAUAUCCGGAUCUGCCAAGUUCCACAUUCAUAGUUUCUGUGGAAGUCUUGUAUUAAUUCAUUUUUAUGUAGCAACGCCCUUUAUAUCUAUGUUAACUUGUCACAUCACGGUGGUUGCAGACAGAUUUUGAAUAGCAUUUUUCUUGUAAUUAUAACCUUCGUUCCAUAUGCCAGCAUUUGUUCGUAUAAUUUAUGUCAGCUGCAAGUUCUGUGCUCAUCUCAAUUGGAUUGGACUGCAUGCUUCUUAUUGAAGUAACAUGUUCAUUUGAUGGUACUUCUAAGUAACUUUCUUACAUGCUUCUGGUGUGCUUUCUGCUUAUGCGCUGCUUAAAAUUGGCCAAACAAAAUGUUCCUUGUGGGCUAAUGUUUCUGCUGUACAGUCUCUUCCGUGCACUUGGGGAGGACGUUGGAUUUUCUCUAUAGUAUUGGUAGCGGAAUUGUCCUUUAAAUACUAGAAGAAUUGUGUUUGCCCCAAGUGCACGGAAGA
rnacentral:misc_RNA from 1 species